AGUGAACGCUGGCGGUAGGCCUAACACAUGCAAGUCGAACGGCAGCACAGGAGAGCUUGCUCUCUGGGUGGCGAGUGGCGGACGGGUGAGGAAUACAUCGGAAUCUACUCUGUCGUGGGGGAUAACGUAGGGAAACUUACGCUAAUACCGCAUACGACCUACGGGUGAAAGCAGGGGAUCUUCCGACCUUGCGCGAUUGAAUGAGCCAAUGUCGGAUUAGCUAGUUGGCGGGGUAAAGGCCCACCAAGGCGACGAUCCGUAGCUGGUCUGAGAGGAUGAUCAGCCACACUGGAACUGAGACACGGUCCAGACUCCUACGGGAGGCAGCAGUGGGGAAUAUUGGACAAUGGGCGCAAGCCUGAUCCAGCCAUACCGCGUGGGUGAAGAAGGCCUUCGGGUUGUAAAGCCCUUUUGUUGGGAAAGAAAUCCAGCUGGCUAAUACCCGGUUGGGAUGACGGUACCCAAAGAAUAAGUACCGGCUAACUUCGUGCCAGCCGCCGCCGUAA
rnacentral:rRNA from 1 species